CACGUAGGGUGCAAGCGUUAUCCGGAAUUAUUGGGCGUAAAGAGCUCGUAGGCGGUUUGUCGCGUCUGCAGUGAAAACUUGGGGCUUAACCCCAAGCUUGCGGUCGAUACGGGCAGACUUGAGUUCGGCAGGGGAGACUGGAAUUCCUGGUGUAGCGGUGAAAUGCGCAGAUAUCAGGAGGAACACCGGUGGCGAAGGCGGGUCUCUGGGCCGUAACUGACGCUGAGGAGCGAAAGCAUGGGGAGCGAACAGG
rnacentral:rRNA from 1 species